GAGCCUCUGAGUCAUUGAGAUUAUUCCAAUGUUACAUGGUCUAAAAAUGGUUGAGCCUUCAAAACAUUGUAUGAUAGCAAUUCAUAAAUCUCAUGGUGCUUGGGUAAAAGCAGGAAAAUAAAUGAACGGAAAAGAAGUCACUUCAUUGCUAACUUCCACAGGAGCUUGAUGUAUGAGACAUCAGGAAAUAUACAGAAGCAAGGGAAGGAAUGAUUAUUUUGUUGUUGGGGCAUUUGGGUUUCAAUGCUGAAAAGAAUCAAUUAAGUUUAACCACAUACUGCCGUGGAUUCUAAAUGAGUUUAAGGACAAAAAAUGGAAUUAAAGAUGGAAGAUGAAUCGUGUAGCAAGAUCUGAGAGAGGCGGUUUACAGGAUUUGGGUAGCAGGGGACGCAGGAGGGAGAAAUUUUCCUGUCUCCUUGCCAUCUUUUUGGAUGUAUAACUCCAGAGUUGGAGACAAAGGACUUUAUUACGAGUGUAAGCAUCAGUGCGUGUCAGUUUCCCUUCCCCUAAGUCCCAUGGAGGUGACACUGUGGGCCAGAUGGAUGCUGUGCCUUGUGUCAUAGCUGAGAAACACGGGCCUGGGGAACCUCUGUGGCAGGCAAUAGGCAAGCCUGCGCUUUGUCCCUGAGGGAGACAUUAUCACAUCUCUCAAGGCUGCUUGCUGCAAACACAGCCCUGCGAAACGGCCUGGGCAAAGAGCGGUGGGGACCUUGCGUUCUUGGCACAGCCAGCAGGGCAGGUUGGAGUGCCAGAGGCCGCAGAGGCCUGAGCCUCCCAACAGGUGGCCGUCAGGAUUGAAUGGGAAGCUGUGUGUAGACGCGUGCCGCUGCGUGUGUGGUGGGAAGCUCUUGGUCAGCGUCAUCCCACAGAGCGUCUGUGGGCUUGAGGAGAGGCAGGCCCAGCCGUGACGCUGCCAGCUGGCAGUCUUCCCACCCGGUGCUCAGUGUUGAGACGAGACCAAGGGUCCCGGGUUGAUGGGCAGUGGGGAGGUGGAAGGGGAGAGAAAGGCUCAUCUCAGUCGCUUGUUUAGCUUUUGCCUCUUGUACACGUUUUGUACCCAGUCCAUCCCUGUGGUGUGCACUCUGGGUAAAUUAUCUAUAAUCCUCUUUUUUCUUAUGUAAAAUCAAAUGAAGUCUCUCUUGAACUUAAUGUUUGUGGUUUUCUUAAUUAGAGAUAAAGGUAUUAUUGGGAAGUUCCCUGGUGGUCCAGCGGUUAGGAUUUAGCACUUUCAUUGCUGUGGUCUGGGUUCAGUCCCUUGGGAUGCCACAUCAAGCUGCUGCUACCAUGGGGGUGUGUGGGGGGGUAAUCCACUAAAAAAUAGGAUGUUUAGGAGUUCCUGUGUGGCUCAGCGGGUUAAGAACCCAACUUGUCUCUGUGAGGAUGCGGGUUUGAUCCCUGACCUUGCUUGGUGGGUUAAGUAUCCAGCAUUGCCACUAGUUGUGGUGUAGGUUGCAGAUGUGGUUCAGAUGCAGUGUUGCUAUGGCUGUCGGGUAGGCAGCUGCAACUCCAAUUCGACCCCUAGCCCAGAAACUUCCAGGUGCCGUAGGUAUGCCUGAAAAAGAAAAAGAAAGAAGGAAAGAAAGGAAUGAAGGAUGAAAGGAAGAAGGAGAGGGAUAAAGAAAGAGGAUGUUAUUUGUUUACACAUAUAUUUAGCAAAAUCCUUGAAAACUGGUUCCAAGCUAAUGAAACUUCAAAUCUAGAUGAUGUGUAAAAGUGUUACAACCAUGUGGAGCUAAAGGAUGUCUGAAGGCGGCUCAACUUUCCAGUUUUAUAGAAAAGGAAACUGAAGCGAGAGAAACGAGGACCCUUACUAAGGAGCGGCCACAGUUGAUGGGUGAUGGAGGUGGUGCUGGACCUUAGCUUUGAAUCCCCAGGGUAGAUAGAGGGGUAUCAGGCCAGGUCUCAUCUGUCCACAUUCAAGAAUGAACAAAUAGAACAACUAGAGAAGACCCACUGAAAAGCUCUAGAAGUAUAAAGGGAAAUAAACAAGGCAUGAAAAAAAUGGAAAAAUUCAGACUUUGGGGAAGAAUUUCCAAACUUUUACUGGUAAACCGAGGUAAAUUUCUUUUUUUUAAUAUUUAAAAAUUAAAAAAAAUUAGAGUAUAGCUAAUUUGCAGUGUUGUGUCAAUUUUUGCUGUACAGCAUAGUGUCUCAGUCAGUCUUGUAUAAUUACAUUCCUUUUUUUUUUUUUUUUUGGUCUUUUUAGGACCACACCCAAGGCAUAUGGAAGUUCACAGGCUAGGGGUCGAAUUGGAGCUUCGGUGCUAGCCUUCACCACAGCCACAGCAACUUGGGAUCCGAGCCAUGUCUGCGACCUGCACCACAGGUCAUGGCAAUGCUGGAUCUUUAACCUGCUGAGCAAAGCCAGGAAUCGAACUUGCAUUCUCACGGAUACCAGUCAGAUUCAUUUCUGCUGAGCCACGAUGGAAACUCCUAUAAUUACAUUCUUUUUCUCAUGCCGUCUUCCAUUAUGUUCUACCUCGAGAGACUGGACAUGGUUCCCUAUGCUCUCAAUAGGACCCCAUUGCUCAUCCAUUCUAAAUGUAAUACUUCGCAUCUACUAACCCCAAAUGCCCCUUACAUCCCACUCCUCGUCCACUCCCCCCGGCAACCACAGAUCUGCUUUCCCUGUCCAUGAUCUGUUGAAAUUUCAAACAUCGGGAGUUCCUGUUGUAGCUCAGUGGUAAUGAACCUGACUAGUAUCCAUGAGGAUGUGGGUUUGAUCCCUGGCCCCUCUCGGUAGGUUAAGGAUCUGAUGUUGCCGUGAGCUGUGGCGUACGCCGGCAGCUAUAGCUCCCAUUGGACCCUUAGCCUGGGAACUUCCAUUUGCCUUGGAUGUGGCCCUAAAGAGAC
ensembl:lncRNA